AAAAGACAUUGCGUUUAGUGGCCAUCCAGCCGGAUUUGGUUUGGUGCGUUUGGCGACCAGACGGAAAAACUAUACUUGUGACAGUGUUUUCGAAACGAACAGCUUUAUUGCCGAAUAUCAGCUGCAUCUGUUUUGUUCGUCCUAUAUUUUUCACAUAACGAAGGCGUCUGUAUCAACUUGUAGUCAGCAUAAGCAUGUACGAAUGGUGUAACGUUUUUUAGCAACAGAGGAAACAGGCACAUGAUUGCUUUCAUCAGAAGUUACAGUCGGAAUCAAGCAGCAACACGUUUAAUGGAAAAGUGUUGUUAGCCUGUUAGCAUUGCUGCUGUAAAUGCAACGUUUUCAGUGGCAAUUAAAAUGGAAGAUCCACGAAAUACGUUUGGAACUUCUAAGUGCAGUGUCUUCGAAUUCGUACUUUAUGAAUUCAAAUGGGGAAUGAAGGUUAUGGGCAGUAAUCAGCACGAACGUUCAAACACGAUGUGUGUGAGGAUUCGCACCCUUUAAUGCAUUUAAGCUUAACGACCACACUACACGAUAGGUCAAAGCCACCAGGUGUUUAAUUUUCUCCAGUUUUACUUCCUUGGUUGGCUUCAGUUUCAUGAAAAGCAUCUUCGGCGCCGUUACAGUUCAUCGGAAUAUUUCCAGGAAUUAUUUUGAUAACCCGCCAUUCAUCAAACGUCCUCCGCUUCAAUGCAUGAUGCUGAUGUCUACUGCCUUCAACAACACCGCCAGUAUCAGAACUGGUAGACGGAA